rnacentral:rRNA from 1 species
GGUAACGGCCUACCAAAGCGACGAUCCAUAGCCGGCCUGAGAGGGUGAACGGCCACAUUGGGACUGAGAUACGGCCCAGACUCCUACGGGAGGCAGCAGUCGGGAAUAUUGCGCAAUGGAGGAAACUCUGACGCAGUGACGCCGCGUGCAGGAAGAAGGUUUUCGGAUUGUAAACUGCUUUAGACAGGGAAGAACAAAUGACAGUACCUGUAGAAUAAGCUCCGGCUAACUAC